CGUAACAAGGUUUCCGUAGGUGAACCUGCGGAAGGAUCAUUACAAGGUACCUAGCCUACCCGGCUAGAACCUCCAACCACUGUGUACCAAACUUUUGUUGCCUCGGCGGGCUGGGCGCCCACCAGCGCCCCCCCUAGGGGAGUCGCCCGCCGAAGGACCUUUAAAACUUCUUUGUAGAUGAACGUCUGAUUCAAUUUUAAAAGAAAUACAACUUUCAACAAUGGAUCUCUUGGCUCUGGCAUCGAUGAAGAACGCAGCGAAAUGCGAUAAUUAAUGUGAAUUGCAGAUUUCAGUGAAUCAUCGAGUUUUUGAACGCACAUUGCGCCCCCUGGUAUUCCUAGGGGCAUGCCUAUUCGAGCGUCGUUUGGUCUCUCAAGCCUGGCUUGGUGUUGGGGCACGCCCUCUUACGAGCGGCGGCCCUCGAAAUCAUCGGCGGUGCCGGUGCGGCCUGGAAGCGCAGCAAAAUGCGAAGCCUACCCACUGAUACCCGCCGGAUCAAACGUCUUCGGACACUUUUUUACAAAAAGACCUCGAAUUAGGUAGGGAUACCCGCUGAACUUAAGC
rnacentral:misc_RNA from 1 species